rnacentral:siRNA from 1 species
AGGUAUUAUAUAAAGGAUGUGGCA